UUUUUCUCACAGCUGGUAGCGUCGGUCGAGAUCCGUUCCGGGCGUAGAAUUACGACUGGGAGGCAAUUUUAGUGUGUUUUUCGUAAAAAAUUGUUCCAGAGAUAUGAAUCAGUUUGACAGUUUAUCAGUGACAACGUAUCACCUCUUUGCAAAUAAUUUUACAAGUCGGCGCUAUAAUAUCAUGGGAGUCUGACAACAUGACAGUUGACUGCUUCCUUAAGGAUGACCAAAAGCGUGGUACAAAAAACAUCGUUCACGCGUACCGUUACACGGAAGUACAAUGAGGAUAGGGAUCAUGAUAUUUACCGUCCUGUUUGGGGCACCCGUUUUCGCUGACGUUGUAAAUUUAGAACCAUCCGGGCCGGUGAAUGUAUGCUGUUGUGGCACAUCAACUUGUUGCUGCUCGCAGAGAGAACACCGGCACGGGAACAAGCAGUGACUGUCGGCGGAAAAAUUCACAGUGGAACAGAACAGUGAUAAAUUACUUGUGGAAGAGUACCUCUGGCUGCGCUUGGACGAUUGCCGGGGGAGUCGUGAAAAACACAUUCGUACAUAAAAGAAGGGAUGGUAACUUAAAGUAUGAUAUCUGUCGUUAACACAUUUCAUGGAGCGCAUUGGAAGGAACUAACGAUGAUGAAAAAAAAACCAAUUGUGCUUCAUUUCACUCUGCAAAAGCGAUACGUCAUUUCACGAGUGAAAUUCAGGAUUACGACAAGCGGAGAAACGAAGGUUAAGAUUUUACAUUCUGUUGAUAGUCGUAUGGAUUGAUAACCUGUGAAAGGUGUGAUGCACGAAGACCUCCAGCUAGGUGAACUACAUCGGGGCAUAUGUUUGGUAUACAUUCUACUCAUCGUUCCGGAUACAUUCUUGCAGCUCGUACCAAGCGGCAGCGGCAGCCGACAUGAACAGCAGAAACAGUUUCUCAGAAAACCAAUUCGAAACUCAAUAUAUACUGCACUGACGAUGUUGUCGUGGAGACCGGGUCAGAGCCACAGCAUAUGUAUACAUUUCCGGCAUAUGUAUGCCUCUCUACGCAGGAAUAUGAUCCCACGGUUUGCCAAACGAUGCCAGACACAGGAUUACAAAUACGGAAUAUGAUGUAUCACAUUGUAACAACAAGUGCGGCGUGUUUUAACUCAAGGUUAAUCAAUACAAUAUGAUGACUCUCGUUAAUUUCAAUCCUCGGAUAUAAUGGUUAAAACUCACAUCGGUUCACAAUUUUGAACGAGACGUUUUUCUUCUAUUUUCUAUUUGUUCCCAAAUAGUACUUGUUCCCAUAAAUAUAUUCUAGUAUUCGUGCGCAUGUAUUUUUACAACAAUUUCAACGGUCAAUACUCAUACUCACCAUAUAAUCGCUCCAAGUCAAUCGAUUUUUUUUUGGAAACAGAGGCGAAUAAUCUGUGAAAUUUUAAAGCCUCUAUAAUUCAAACCAUGACUAUGAUUAUCAUU